CUGGUUUGGCGUUGAGUGAUACUCGGUUUACUUGAAAAACAUGAAAAGCAUAACUAUUAGGUUUUACCAACUCGUUAUACUAAUCUACAAGUUUGACCUCAAAUCAGGUAGGACUACCCGCUGAACUUAAGCAUAUCAAUAAGCGGAGGAAAAGAAACCAACCGGGAUUGCCUCAGUAACGGCGAGUGAAGCGGCAAAAGCUCAAAUUUGAAAUCUGCGUAAGCCGAGUUGUAAUUUGAAGAUGGCUACUUUGGUAAUGGCUCUUGUCUAUGUUCCUUGGAACAGGACGUCACAGAGGGUGAGAAUCCCGUGCGAUGAGAUGUCCAUUACCGUGUAAAGUGCUUUCGAAGAGUCGAGUUGUUUGGGAAUGCAGCUCUAAGUGGGUGGUAAAUUCCAUCUAAAGCUAAAUAUUGGCGAGAGACCGAUAGCGAACAAGUACAGUGAUGGAAAGAUGAAAAGAACUUUGAAAAGAGAGUGAAAAAGUACGUGAAAUUGUUGAAAGGGAAGGGCUUGAGAUCAGACUUGGUAUUUUGUAUGGCUUGCUUUCGGGCGGGUCCUCUGCAGUUUACUGGGCCAGCAUCGGUUUGGGUGGCAGGAUAAUAGCAUAGGAAUGUGGCUCUACU
rnacentral:rRNA from 1 species